AGAGGGCUAACAAUCACAGUAUGAGUUUGCACACGGGAAGUGUGUUCACCUCCCUAUUGUCUAAGGCUCUAUACUUGGAGAAAUGAUCUUCACCUGGCCAGGCUCCACCCUACCUGAGGUAGUCCGGACUUGCCAGGGCACUGCACACAUGGAGUGUUGUACGGGGCUCCACAGUGGUCUGUGUGGGAGGCACACUGUGCAUUUCCCUCGUAGAGGUUUCCUCACAUGCCUGAGGCAUUGACGGAAUUGGCUGCUUUGUUCAUGUUCUAUGUUGAAGAGGGACCCAAAUGCAAGAAAUGAGCAAAACUCAUGGAUGGCUGUGUUCACAUCCACUUUGUAGAAGGUUUGCACCUACCUGAGUGGGUCAGGAAAUGGUGGGGCUCUUCUCACAUUCACCAUGUAGAGGGCUCCAUGCAUGAUGCAGGUGUGCAGUGUGGGUGGGGUGUGCUGACCUUCCCGGUGUAUCAGAAGCAUGUGUACAGGGGAGUGUCAGUGUGUGGCAGGGCUGUGAUUACACUCAGGUUGUCCAGGGCACCACCAAUGCCUGAGGUCGUCAGGACACGGGGAGGCUCUGGUCACGAUCACAGUGUGCAGGGCACCACACAUGCGUGAGCUGGUCAGGAGGGCAAGAGGCUCUGCUCACAUCCACUUUGUAAGGGGCUGCUUGCUCACCUCUGGUGCUUAAGAUAAAGGUGGGGCUCUGGUCACUUUCACAUUGUGGAGGGCUCUGUACUUGCCUGAGGUUGUCAGGGCAUACACGGGUUGUGCAGAUUCUGCUUUCAUUCAAGUUGUUCAGGGCUCCAUGGAAAGGGUUUGUGGUCAGGACAUGGGGCGCUCUGUUUCUAUCCAUACCAUGGAAGGCUCAACACAGUUCUCAAGACAUGUCAAGGGCUUGGUUUUCUGUUCACAUACACAAUUUUUAGGGACCAACCCUCCAGGCAGGAUAAGGACUUGGAGAGUCACUCUUCUUCCAUGUUCUCUUUUUGCAGGCCUACACAUAAGUGAUAUUGUCAGGACCUGUGGCCCGAUUCACAGAAUGUUUCGUUCCAGAAGUAUAACAGUUUGUGCUGCUGGGCAGUGCUCCUGCCCAAUAUAUCAAAAUGUUUUGUAUCUGUUUGAAAUGUGUGCCCUCUUAGGAAUCUUCUGUUAGCUCUGCCCCUCUGAGGAUGUUCUGUUAGGUCUGCCCCUCUCAGGAACCUUCUGUUAGCUCUGCCCCUUUCAGGAAUGCUCUGUAACUCUUCUCCCUUCCCCCUGCUUCAGUGAGCAUGCUCACCCAGCAUGUGUUUGAGGAAUGUUCUGUAACUCCAUCCACUCCUCUGCUUCCUUGAGCAUGUUUGCCUAUCCUGUAGAGCCCUAUAUAAGGAGGCACUCAUUCUGGUAGGGUGCUCAGACAUCAGAGUAGGAACUCCUCUGAGUCUGCCGGUAUAAUAAAGGUUUUUCUCCACCUUUUCAA